UACAGAGGGUGCGAGCGUUAAUCGGAAUUACUGGGCGUAAAGCGUGCGUAGACGGCUAUCUAAGUCGGGUGUGAAAGCCCCGGGCUCAACCUGGGAAUUGCAUUCGAGACUGAAUAGCUAGGGUACGGUAGAGGGAAGUGGAAUUUCCGGUGUAGCGGUGAAAUGCGUAGAUAUCGGAAGGAACAUCAGUGGCGAAAGCGACUUCCUGGACCAGUACCGACGUUCAGGCACGAAAGCCGUGG
rnacentral:rRNA from 1 species